AAAAAUGAGAGACAAAAAAAAAUUGAGAGAAAAAAAAAAAGGAUAUUUUGGUUAGUUUUUGAAAAUUCGAUCAGAAUUUGUAAAAUACAAAAUGAUAGCCUAUCUUCUAUAAAAUCUAUAAAAUCUAUAAAAUACUAUUAAUCCUCAUGAUUCUAAUCCCACGUGGCGAAACCUCAACAGUUUGAGCUAUGGUGGUGGGGUCCACCUACAUUCUUCCUAUUGGUUGGUUAUGGACCGACACAAUAAAUGCUGACCCAUUUCCUCAUAUGCUUUCUACCUUCCUUGCAUCUUUUCGUUGCUUGAACCCGCAUCUCUUCGUUGCCUGUGCCUUCACGCCGAUACAUUGCCCCAAAAGCUUGCUCCCAUCUCUUCGUUCUUUGCGCCCUUGCACCGGUACAUCGUUCCUAAAUCCUUCGUCGUCCUAUUUUUUCCAUUUUGGACCUUCCCUCUUCGCCUUCUCCCACUACCCAACUUUCGUCGCAAUAGUUCUCCACGCUGAUAGCAAUGACUUUUGAUACAUUUUCCUGAUCUCUCCUGCCCUGCGAGCUUUGGCACUAUUACAUAGUCGUCUCAGCC
rnacentral:lncRNA from 1 species